rnacentral:rRNA from 1 species
UACGUAGGGUGCGAGCGUUAAUCGGAAUUACUGGGCGUAAAGCGUGCGUAGACGGUUAUUUAAGUCGGGUGUGAAAGCCCCGGGCUCAACCUGGGAAUUGCAUUCGAGACUGAAUAGCUAGGGUACGGUAGAGGGAAGCGGAAUUUCCGGUGUAGCGGUGAAAUGCGUAGAUAUCGGAAGGAACAUCAGUGGCGAAAGCGGCUUCCUGGACCAGUACCGACGUUCAGGCACGAAAGCGUGGGGAGCGAUCCGG